rnacentral:rRNA from 1 species
AAAUUGAAGAGUUUGAUCAUGGCUCAGAUUGAACGCUGGCGGCAGGCCUAACACAUGCAAGUCGAGCGGAAACGACAACAUUGAAUCUUCGGAGGAUUUGUUGGGCGUCGAGCGGCGGACGGGUGAGUAAUGCCUAGGAAAUUGCCUUGAUGUGGGGGAUAACCAUUGGAAACGAUGGCUAAUACCGCAUAAUG